GCUAACGGCAUAUUAGAUGCAUUGCUACAUUUUACAGCAUUAUUUGGUUGAAAUUACAAUAUACGGGCAUAUUAACAUGUUCGAUUGAAAAUGUAAAAAGUGUAAAACUAUGAGAGGGAUAAGGCAGCAUUCCCAAAAUGUUGUCCCGUAUAAGUGCAACAUUAGUGUAACAUUUUUUUUCAGAAUCGAAAUCACCAUAAGUGUGCCACACUAAUGAAAUGAAUAGUUAGCGGAGAGUUUAAACAAGUAAAGGAAAGAGAGUGCAGUAUUUUUAUAUACAUUAUGUGAUUGGUCCCAUAUGUUUAAGUUUUCUCGAUAUUUCGAUUGCGAGUAAUAUAGUCAAACAUCGACAGGAGAUAUUAAGAAGUUGAGUUGGUAAAACAUGCAUCGAGUUUCAGUGCAAUGUUUUACGUUCUGUAAUAUGUAUGAAUUUGGAAACAUACACCAACAGCUUUUGUUGUGAUUUGGCACACUAUUCACAAGCGAAUAGGAGUUUUUCGAAUACAUCAAUUAUUGUCAAUAAUACCACCAGCAACAGAAAGACCAAGUGUAUGCAGGCAAAAUGUUUAUACCGACAACAACAACAUCCUUAACAGUAACUAGGAAUACUUAAACAACAAAAACAGUAAAACAGAAAUUCAAUUAAAACAAACAACCAACAUUUCGAAUGCCUAGAAACAAGUGUUUUUAAAACUAGAAACAACUGUAUUUAAAACAAACAAAACAAGUAACAACAAAUAAAAAGGAAAAACACAAAAAGCAACUAACAAAGGAAACACUUAUAUUUAUACAUGCAUAUAUACCAAAUAAAAAUCAUAUAUAUAUAUAUAUACAUAAAUAGGCUAAUAAAAAACCAAAAACAAUAAAUACGUUUAGUAGUUAUGUAACAAUGAAAGAAUCCAAAUAACAGCAACAACCAAAACAAACAUUAAUACUCAAUAUGAUUAAAAUAGGAACCCUAGUUUAACAAACGAACUAACGAAGGGAAAAACAAAGCCAGAAACUCAAAACAAAUAUUGAAAGAAACAUUAAAGAAAAAAGGCCUCAACAAUGUUAUUAAUUUACAAACAAUUAAAAAUUAACCAACAACAUCAAAGGAACCAGCAAACAAGGAAAAUCAUAAUAUUGAAAAAAAAAAUUCAAAUGCCCAAAAUAUCAAGCAAAAAUAAUCUGAUUCAAAGAGGGUAUGUAUUAAGAGAUCAAUGAGAAAAAUGAUCAAAACAACAAAUCUGUUUAUUUUAUUAAACAAUAUUUGAAUUAUAUUUGACAUUUAAUGUGCAAAAGCAAAAACCCACAUUUAACUAUUAACACAAAAGCAUACAAGGGCCGUUAAUUUAAUUCACCAUUACUAAAAAGCAACAAAAAUGUUUUCUUUUCCCUACAUGUAUUUUUUGUUAGUAAAUCAUGUUGUUUACUUGCCAUUCGUACAUCUAAGAUGUAUCAACAACAACGGCAGAAAAAUUCAAAUGUUGAUCAUUUUCUCCCAUAACCAUCAAAAUUUACCAAGUAACUAAAGAAAAAUGUAAAUGGGAAUACUUAAAAAAAUGGAAUAUAAAAGAAGAACAAUCCCAUACUAUGUUGUUAAAUACUUCAAUUGAAAGUGAAUUAUUAUUACUAUUAUAAUUAUUACGUAUUAAUUACUAAAACAAUUUGUGUAAUUGUAAUUGUGAAUGUGUUUAGCAAAUUAAUUAAAUUAACUUAAAAAAGCAAAUGAAGAAAUCGCAAAUCACAGCCAACCAACCAAACAUUUACUAUUCAAAAAAUUUGAGAAAUUACUUAAAAUCAAAGCUUUGUUUUUUUAAUAUUUUAUUUCUUGCAGCAUUUGACAUAAAAUUGAGUCUCAUAAUUAUGUCAAUAAUUAUUUUUGAGUUGCUGUUUUACCAUCACUCAACUAAAUAUCCCCGUUCGGAAAACCCUCAUCACUAAACUAGUAAAAUGAAACAAUGAAGUGCAGAAAUCAAUAAAAAACAUAAAAAAGAAAUUAGUAAAAAACAAACAAAACAA